rnacentral:hammerhead_ribozyme from 1 species
AUUCAACUGAUGAGUCCUAAACAGGACGUAACUAGCGUCCUGGAU